UAUAUAUUACAUGUAUAUAUAUGCUUGUCAAGGUAAAUUCCGUGUGUCUCACUACCAGGUUGCCUAGUUCCUUAAAAUCCUUUCCGUACUUACUUAUUUCAUCACUCGGUUUGUUGAAGGCUGACAUAAGACUUCCCUCUGUUAUUGUGUGUGACCAAAUUAUUUCAUAUGCUUUAAUAUUUUCUAUUCAGAAAAAAUACCCAUGUGUGUGAUAUUUCUAAUGUUUUCCAUAUUAAAUUCUAGAUUGAUUAAUGUUGAUAUCACCGUUCUUUCUUUCCUGUGUGUUUUCUUGGCAUUCCUGUGUUCCCCCGAUCCGUCCCAUUUUGUGUAACACAGAAUGUAUUUAGAACUGAGACCCUUCCAACCUCUUUGCCUUGUAGCCGAAAUAAUGAAACCAGCUACCCUUAGGUAAUAAUGUGCAUGCUUGACCUCACUUUUAUCACCCUGUCUCGAACUUCCUGUUUUUACCUCUCCUUUCUAAUUUUCUUACUUAGUUUUUUAAUUUAAUUUUUUCCCCUGAGCAUGCAUGAGCUGUUUUAACUAAAGUGAAGAAUAGAGUUUCUGUGUUUCAGCAUUUUUCCUUCUGUCCCCCCUUUCCUGUCCUGAGGAAAAUCUAUAUUGCCACCUUAGUGUGCCCACUACGGCCACAUGUUUCCAGUCUCCCUAUCUCAUGUCUCCAGAUGUCUUCUCAACAUCAUGCUCAUUUUAAAUUUUUUGUGCUGUUUCCCCCUUUGGGCUUCCAGGCACGGCUCUGCACGUGAGCUUAGCCAAAAGGCUGAAAGGUCUUCAUUCUGCAAACGUGACGAACGCAGUGGUUUUCAGCACGUGGGUCACGACCCCUCAGGGGUUAAAUGACUCUCACAGAGGUGCUUAAGACCAUCGGAAAACACAGAUAUUUACACUAUGAUCCGCAACAGCAGCAACAUCGCAGUUAAGGAGUAGCAAUAAUAAUCUUACGGUCGGGGUCAGCACACCAUGAGAAACUGUAUUAAAGGGGCACAGCAUGAGGAAGGCUGAGAACCAUGGCUCUAAAGGGAUGCCUGCCUGAACCUCUCUCGACAGUUCAGCCCUGAGCUGAGCUUCUCGUCUGCUCACACAUUCUGCUGCUAUUCUUCAGAGCCCUCCCUCAUGAAGCCACCACACCCCCAGGCACAGAUACAGAAGCCAGGGAGUGACCCUGGGCUCCCUUGCCCUGCUUCCCACCCCUCCCUUAAGCCUUCUCUCCUGAUUCUCCACUCCUGCAGCCUUUGCUCAGCCCUCUCAUCACCCUGAUUUCCCCUCAGAGCCCCUGUGUGGGCCAUAUUAUAUGUAUAAUGGCCGUAUUAUUCCCCACGUAAUAGUUUCUCAGGGUCCCUUACAUUGUACAUGAAAAACCUACACUCUUUUAUGCAGCAGACAAGACCCUCUGUAGUUGGGCUGCUGCUCACGUUUCCAGACACAGCUCCUAUCACUUUCUCAUGCAGACUUCGCUUCAGUAACUGAGCUGUGUCCCAGGAACGGCCUCUGAGACUUUGCUCAUGCCAUUCCCUCUCAUUCUUUACGACUUUUGGCUCAAGUUCUCCAGAUCGUUAUCUGGCUUCUUUGAUCUACUAACUUCUCAGUUUGUGGAUUUACCUCUGACUUUCAUCUAAGAUUAGCACUGUUUUGUUUCUGGCUCUGUUACACAUCCUUGCUAGAAAACACUUGACCUCCCUUAGAAACUGGUUCUGUGUGGAGCACACAGUGGGUGCUCAGUGACCUUCCUUAGAAACUGGUCCUGUGUGGAGCACACAGUGGGUGCUCAGUGACCUUCCUUAGAAACUGGUUCUGUGUGGAGCACACAGUGGGUGCUCAGUGACCUUCCUUAGAAACUGGUCCUGUGUGGAGCACACAGUGGGUGCUCAGUGACCUUCCUUAGAAACUGGUCCUGUGUGGAGCACACAGUGGGUGCUCAGUGACCUUCCUUAGAAACUGGUCCUGUGUGGAGCACACAGUGGGUACCCAGUACACAUGUGGGUUCAUGACUCAGUGUCUGUUCAGGAAUGUACUUGCUGUGAUGGAAUGAUUUAGGUGUUUGGGGCAGCAAGUUAAUUUGAACAGAGCAGGAGCACAUGGCUGUUGGCUUCCUAGUAGUUAAGAAACAGCGCCUUGUGACUAUUCAAAGUCAGCUAGGUGCACGGCACUAGAAAAGGGAAGAGACUGUACUUCUAACAGUGAUGACCUGGACUCAGAUUCUUGGGUUCAUGGACAUCGUUGCUGAUGAAACUUUAGCAUGGGGGUGGUCUGGACAGCAGCACCUGCCUUGGCUCUUCAAGAUUCUGGAAAGAGCAUCUGCCAUCACAGAAGACGUGGAGAGAUAUUUUUCUAGCUCAACCACUUUAAUUAGAGGUGAGGCCACUGUGGCAUUUGUUCUGUUGCCCCAGAGCUGAGAGGGACAGAUGUGCAGUGGGCAAUGAAAACAUUCAGCAACUCAAUACCUGAGGAUCGAAGUGGGCUGCUAGGCCGUGGCUGCUGGGAACUUCCACAGCAGAUGGGCCAUGAGGAAAUGAAAAGUCAUUUCCUGCGUGGACAGCCACACUGACAAUGACACUGCUAGGCACCAGAACACCACCUCCACCACACAGAGCACACAGAAAGGAAGGUAAGGCUCAAACGGCCAACUGGGAGGGCAGCUAUGGCUUUAUCAGCCGAUUGGUGACCACUGAGCUUUCCCUCUGGCUGUGCUUGUCAGCCGCUCACAGCCUCUGCUUUAGCUGGUCACACGAGGGAGGUGGGCUGGUGGCAUCCCCGGCGCCACCUCACAUGCCUGUGUGGGGAACCAGGAGAGAUGACGGACUGCUGUUUGUCUAAGCGUGGUGCAUGUGCAAAAGAAUGGUUAUUAUUAAUUAUUAAGAUGACCUCUCACUUAAACCUCGGCUAUCUUGUGCUCCUUUUCUCCACAGACCGUGUACGCCAUGCAUCUCAGUACUUGGGAGGCUGAGGCAGAAGCACUGUGUGGAUUGCGGCCAAUUCUUAAAGGAGAAGUAGAUAUUUUGACAUGAACCCAAACAUUCAGAAGAGAAGGUUAGAAGAAGGAAGUCCACCCUGGAGAGGCCCUGCUCAGAGGAGAGAUGGUGACUCCUCCCUGCUGUGAGCUCCAGGCCAGGCUCACCUUGGGUAGGUGGAGAGCUCUCACCACUUUGAUUGGUUUGCUUAUUAAUGUUUCAGUAUGGUCUUUCACUAAACACAGCCUUGAACUUGUAAUCCCUCUGCUUCAGUCUCUCAAGUAGUUAGGACAUCAGGCAUGUGCCCCUACUCUGGGCCUGGGUUCCUUGUUGAGAUAAUGACUUGAGACACUUUCUCGUCUCCUUCUCCAAUCUCGCUUUCAAUAACCUAGAAGCUUUUAGAUAUGCCACAAAUUAAUACGUAUCUCUUGUCAUGACUGAACAGCACUCUAGGAUGCUAAAGCAACACAUGGUUCAAAUAACUACAGCACAGUUUUUAAUCUAUCCACAAUCAUACAAGGGGCCACCACCAGCACUGACGCCAUCCCCAUUGAUGGCAUCACGUCCAUCGCUAGCCUUACUGCCACCAUCACCACCACCUUCAGAAUAUGAGUCCUUUAAUGAGAAAGUAACUUGGAAACAUUCCUUAACUUGGGGGGGGGUUGUGUGCUGGUGUUAAUCCCAGAAAAUAUUCUGAAAUAGGAUUUGGAAACAACUUUGAGGACUAAAGUUGUGAUCUCGAAGAGGUGACGUGAGCUCACUAAAAGUGCUUUACCCCAAGCCAAUGGUGUUGCUUCUUUAACAGGGAUAUUGAACAUCAGACCAAAGGAAUAUCAUUGAUAGCGAAUCAGGACCUUCCCAAGAUGUUUGACAAGCUUUGGUUGACGAUCUCUUGGAAAGGAGUACAGUGAAGCCAAGAGGGCUACGAGUCAUGUCAACAUCACCGCGCACAUCGAUACGUAGGCAACACAUGUAGCCUUUGAAAAUCCCAUCUCUCCUACCAGCCUUGCAAACACAGGCAAAGCUACUCAAACUGUCUGAGGUUCACCGUCCUUGCCCGAGAGAUGGGGUUAUUAAUAUCAGGCUCCUAGUGAUGACGUGGAUAUGUGAACCCGUUGUCUCUGAUGUCUAUUGUCAUCGGUCCCGUCCAGAAGGACAUUUCUGACAAUCUUGACCCAGUGGCAGUAGAUUGGUGAUCAUUUCUCCUCAGCAGGCCUACAUGGUCGGGAUCGAUCUAGCUAAGCAGAAAGGGGCUCUGAUGGAUGGGGCGAAGCAGAUGAAUGGAUGGAUGCUGGUACUCUGUGCUCAUACGUCAGCCGUCAGCCACGAUCCACUCUUUAAUCCACCUUCCCUGGGGAGCUUCUCAGAGCUACCCUCAGCCAGGCCGACACACUUGGUGUGAGCGCGUUCUGCGACACAUGCGCCAGACUCAUUCUAGAGAAGGCCGACUUGAAGGAGAACCCAGAUGGGGAAGUCAUGGUUGCAGCAGGAGCUGGGACAACAUGGAGCUGUUCUGUCCUUUACAGUAAGGAAAUAAUAAGGUUGAUGGGACACAUGGGGAAGGCGGGCAGAAGUAGAGUGAAGCGAUCCAACUUGGCAUGCCGGGGAAGUUAUUAUAUAACAAUAAGAAACUCUGCAAAGGGUGCCAAGCGAGAAUUUGGAGAACAGAAGUGCUUAUAAAGAUUGGUAAAUAUGAAGGUGCUUGUUCCUAUAAAAUACACCAUUUAUGAAGUCAAAAGUGUUCGCCAAACGGGUUUGUGAAUAGACUCCUUUGGGGGAUUCAGUGGUGGUGCAGAGCUAAGCAUCUAAGCACACACAGGGUAAGCACACAAAGCCUUGCUGACAGGGGCGAAGAAAUGUCGGGUUGAGUUCCAUUCCAGUGACAUGCGGGAAAAGUGUCCUGAUGAAGGUCAGAGCAAUGUGGAAGGCACAAGUAAAACAAAACGUGGAGGGGGCAGGUUGGGCAUGCGAUUGGAAAGAUGAGUGGUGUUUGCCUCAAAGGCCAGGAGAAAAUGGACACUUUUAUAAAAGGUUGAGAGGAGAGGUGUGGGAGAGAGCCUCCAAGUACUCUACAUACCCUGCUUGGGGUGGAGACACAGUGAGGUAAACUCUUUUUUUUCUCUUUGCAUGUGCAUGUUGUGUGUGUGUGUG
rnacentral:sRNA from 1 species